UACGUAGGGUGCAAGCGUUCUCCGGAAUUAUUGGGCGUAAAGAGCUCGUAGGCGGUCUGUUGCGUCCGCUGUGAAAACCCGGGGCUUAACCCCUGGCUUGCAGUGGAUACGGACAGACUAGAGGUAGGUAGGGGAGAAUGGAAUUCCCGGUGUAGCGGUGAAAUGCGCAGAUAUCGGGAGGAACACCGGUGGCGAAGGCGGUUCUCUGGGCCUUACCUGACGCUGAGGAGCGAAAGCGUGGGGAGCGAACAGG
rnacentral:rRNA from 1 species